rnacentral:tRNA from 1 species
UGGGCUGUGGCUCAGUGGUAGAGCGCUUGCCCAGCAUGUGUGAGGCACUGGGUUCAAUUCUCAGCACCACAU